rnacentral:rRNA from 2 species
CUGGUGUCAGCCGCCGCGGUAAUACCAGCACCCCGGGUGGUCGGGACGAUUAUUGGGCCUAAAGCAUCCGUAGCCGGUCCUGCAAGUCUUCCGUUAAAUCCAGCUGCUCAACAGAUGGGCUGCGGGGGAUACUACAGGGCUAGGAGGCGGGAGAGGCAAGCGGUACUUUAUGGGUAGGGGUAAAAUCCGUUGAUCCAUAGAAGACCACCAGUGGCGAAGGCGGCUUGCCAGAACGCGCUCGACGGUGAGGGAUGAAAGCUGGGGGAGCAAACCGGAUUAGAUACCCGGGUAGUCCCAGCUGUAAACGAUGCAGACUCGGUGAUGGGUUGGCUUCGUGCCAACCCAGUGCCGCAGGGAAGCCGUUAAGUCUGCCGCCUGGGGAGUACGGUCGCAAGACUGAAACUUAAAG